CGCACCGGGAUAAAACUCACUCCAUUCGCCGAUUGCGGCCGCUUCAGCUGCGUGCGAGUGAUCCAACAAACCUAGAUCUUUUGAAGAGGGGAUCAUUACCCGUUCUGCCACCCGUCCGAUGAACGCCUCGGGGCUUGUGACGUCACGGAGUUUUGUAAAUGAGUAGGAAACACAGAAAAUGGCGAAGUUGGUGGUGAUGCGGAUGCUGUGAUCCAUAUUAAUUAUCGAGUAUCGCGGACAUUUGGAGUGUUGUGACCAUGAAGAAGCAUUGAAGAUGCUUGUAAAGUGUUGUUCUUCCGUUUAGGAAUCUAGAUGCAAUGGCUGCGAACAUGUAUAGGGUUGGAGACUAUGUCUUUUUUGAGACAUCCUCCACCUCUCCCUACCAGAUUCGUAGGAUUGAGGAACUAAAUAAGACUUUAAGUGGCAAUGUGGAGGCUAAGGUGAUGUGCUUCUACAGGAGGAGAGACAUCUCCUCAUCCCUCAUCUCAUUAGCUGACAAGCAUCAGAGUAAGUGGUGCAUUGCUUUGAGCUGUGAUAAUUGGGUAUGCUGGCACAGCA